rnacentral:rRNA from 1 species
AUUGAACGCUGGCGGCAGGCCUAACACAUGCAAGUCGAGCGAGCGGCGGACGGGUGAGGAAUGUCUGGGAAACUGCCUGAUGGAGGGGGAUAACUACUGGAAACGGUAGCUAACACCGCAUACCAUCAGAUGUGCACAGAUGGGAGUAGCUAGUAGUUGGGGUAACGGCGCACCUAGGCGACGAUCCCUAGCUGGUAGGAGAGGAUGAUCAGUCCCCCGGGAACUGAGACACGGUCCAGACUCCUACGGGAGGCAGCAGUGGGGAAUAUUGGACAAGGGUCUAAAGCCUGAUCCAGCCAUGCCGCGUGUGUGAAGAAGGUCUUCGGAUUGUAAAGCACUUUAAGUUGGGAGGCGUUACCAACAGAAUAAGCACCGGCUAACUUCGUGCCAGCCGCCGCGGUAAUAC